UACACAAUGGGGUGGAGUCUGCCU
rnacentral:piRNA from 1 species